UAAACAAAGAAAUUGAUCUUCUCCACUUGCAUCUCCGCCGUGCUGAAGCUCACCAUUGGCGGUGGCGGAGCACCAAAUAUCAAAACCAAUUAUACCAAACCAAUCCAUUUUAUGAGCUCUAGCUAAAUCAAAAAUCAAUUUCUACCAAUUCUUCAUAACAACUCUGAAUCAAGUAGAAAAUCCCUAAGAGCCCUAACCAAAGAAUAAAAAAUUAAACUUUUAUAUGGAGGAAUCAAAGUCCCUGCGGUUAUAGCUUUGAUUCCUCGGCCUCUCCCCUACAUGGUGGUAACUAGAAAAAAGCUUAAAUAUGAAUAAAUAGCACAUACCUGUCGAAGAGAUAAAGCUUCUGAGCUCGGGGUAAAGGUCUUGAUGAAGCAUCUUUCAGGUACGAAUCUUUAAUCUAAACUUCUUCUUCUUCUUCUGCUUCACUCUUUUUCUUUCUUCUUCUUCCUUCUGAUAUACUCUAGGUCUUCUUCUUCUUCCGCAUGUGUGUUGUGAGAGUGAAGGAGUGAAUUGAGAUAUUCGUAAUGAAUGGAGUGUUUCAGAGAUGUGUCAUUGAGAGAGAGUUGAGAGGGUUUGAGAAUAAGAGUUUUCUGAGAAACGAGAAGUGAAUGCAAAUUGAAGAGUGAAUAAUGAUUUAUAGGUGAGGGAGAGAGUUAACAAAGUUAUCUCUGUUAAAUUGAUCAAGGUGGAAGUUGGUUAGAAGUAAAUUCACUAUGUUAGUUAUGAGGAAUUAUGAUUUCUGUUAGAGGACAUUUCAUUUAAUUCCAUUUUUGAAGUUAGUUAAUUAGUUAGGUUUUAAAUUCAGUUAGUUAAUCAAUUAGUGAUCUAGUGUGUGAUUGGCUAAUGUAGGUAAUAUGUUGAAUUUAAGUUAUAUGAUGUGUUAAUGGAUCGAAGAGGUAACCUGUUGAACAAGUUUUGUUUCAAAUGCAAUAUUCUAGCUAUUUUGGAAAAUUGCAGCUUGUGGUUAAUUUUGCAAGUUACGGGUUUUAGUUGACUUACUGCAGGUUGUGCUAGGUUGCAGGUUGGUUUUAGUUGUUACUUAAUGAAAGGAAAAAUGUGAGGUAAACCUGUUAGACUAGUUUUGGUUUAUCAUUGUUGCAAACAAUUUGUUAAGCAUGGUUAUGGUUAGGAUUAUUACAACUCAGUUUGAAUUGGUGAAUUCAAUUUUUGUUGGGACAUACUUGAUAUAAUGUUAGGACUAUUAUGAGAUACUUGUGUUUAGUUGUUAGUAACUAGGUUAGGUAUCAAUGGGAACUUGUAAAAAAUGGAUGUAACAAUGGUUUUGGGCCAAUGCUUUCAAGUUGAUAUUAGUUGGUACAACCUAUUGAAUGAAUGUGUUGCUAACUACUAGGUUGGACUUUGCAUUUCUUACUUGUUAGCAUGUCAACUGCAUAAGGGAUCAAAGUGAAUUGUCAUGUGUAGCUGCAGCAGGGCAUGCCAUGGCUAAAAUUUACAUGCUUCCAUUAUUGGCAUUGAGUUAUAGCAUGCCAUGUAGUAUUUGGAUGUAUGCUUGCUUAUUGCAAUGUUGCAUGAUGUGUGUAUUAACAAAUGUGCCAUAUGCGUGUUUGCAUAUUCCUUCAAUAAUAUAUGUAUGCUAAAUGAUGCAAAGUUGUUUUAGGAUUUGGCAUGACAUGGCAAGAGACUUUGAUGACAAAACAAGGCUUGGUGCAAAAUGAGGUUUUCUUGUUCAUGAAGAAACUUGGUCAUAGAAUCAAAUGGAAAGAUGUAAGAAUAAAGACACAAUGGGGAAUUAGGGUUAGGAAUGUAGAAGUUUAGGUCAGUUGACUUUGGUCAACUAGUUUCCUGAAAAGUCAAUAGUUGACCAAAAGUCAAUUGUAGGUCAAACUUGAUUUUUUUGUAAUUUUGUAUGGAACUUUGUAAAUUGAUACUUGUAUGGUCAAAUUAACAAAUUUGAAUGGAAAUGGUCUUUUAUGAUUCAAAGAAA
rnacentral:lncRNA from 1 species